rnacentral:rRNA from 1 species
GGCCUCCGGUGAGGCUCGACGUUGGAACAGCGGUUAGGAGCUUACACCCACCCGUGUUUACAUACUAUUGUUGCUUUGGCGGGCCGUGGCCUCCACUGCGGGCUCUGCUCGUGUGUGCCCGCCAGAGAACCAAACUCUGAAUGUUAGUGAUGUCUGAGUACUAUCUAAUAGUUAAAACUUUCAACAACGGAUCUCUUGGUUCUGGCAUCGAUGAAGAACGCAGCGAAAUGCGAUAAGUAAUGUGAAUUGCAGAAUUCAGUGAAUCAUCGAAUCUUUGAACGCACAUUGCGCCCUGUGGUAUUCCGCAGGGCAUGCCUGUUCGAGCGUCAUUUAACCACUCACGCCUAGCGUGGUAUUGGGGCACGCGGUCUCCGCGGCCCUCAAAAUUAGUGGCGGCGCCGGUGGGCUCUAAGCGUAGUACAUACUCCCGCUAUAGAGUUCCCCCGGUGGCUCGCCAGAACCCCCAAUUUUUACAGGUUGACCUCGGAUCAGGUAGGGAUACCCGCUGAACUUAAGCAUAUCAAUAAGCGGAGGAA